rnacentral:rRNA from 1 species
AGAGUUUGAUCAUGGCUCAGGACGAACGCUGGCGGCGUGCCUAAUACAUGCAAGUCGAGCGAAUCUUGAGGUGCUUGCACCUCUUGGUUAGCGGCGGACGGGUGAGUAACACGUGGGCAACCUACCUGUAAGACUGGGAUAACUUCGGGAAACCGAAGCUAAUACCGGAUAAUUCUUCUUUACACAUGUAGAGAAGCUAAAAGACGGUUUCGGCUGUCACUUACAGAUGGGCCCGCGGCGCAUUAGCUAGUUGGUGAGGUAACGGCUCACCAAGGCAACGAUGCGUAGCCGACCUGAGAGGGUGAUCGGCCACACUGGGACUGAGACACGGCCCAGACUCCUACGGGAGGCAGCAGUAGGGAAUCUUCCGCAAUGGACGAAAGUCUGACGGAGCAACGCCGCGUGAGUGAUGAAGGUUUUCGGAUCGUAAAACUCUGUUGUUAGGGAAGAACAAGUACGAGAGUAACUGCUCGUACCUUGACGGUACCUAACCAGAAAGCCACGGCUAACUACGUGCCAGCAGCCGCGGUAAUACGUAGGAUGCGAGCGUUGUCCGGAAUUAUUGGGCGUAAAGAGAACGUAGGCGGUUUGCCAAGUUUGAUCUUAAAGACCGGGGCUUAACUCCGGGAGUGGAUCGAAAACUGGCAGACUAGAGGACGUCAGAGGAAAGUGGAAUUCCCAGUGUAGCGGUGAAAUGCGUAGAUAUUGGGAGGAACACCAGUGGCGAAAGCGACUUUCUGGGACGUUCCUGACGCUGAGGUUCGAAAGCUCGGGGAGCAAACAGGAUUAGAUACCCCGGUAGUCC